UAGACAUCCUGAAACCUCAUUGUUUGUAUGAUCCGUUGAACAAUGUGGCUCAGGAUGUUGU
rnacentral:pre_miRNA from 1 species